rnacentral:lncRNA from 1 species
CAGCUGUAAGCAACAAGGCUGAAGUCUCUGCUGCUCCACAACCUACCUGCCAGUUUGGUCACAGGUAUCUCCCAAGAUACACAAUCACCUGGAGUGGAAGCUUCAGGACAACAGGGCUGGGAACCUGCGUGUUUCAGAUAAGAUACCUCUUGGAUACCUCUUGAUUCACUCUUCUUCCUGCCACUGUGGUGAGGAUCAUUGAGUCUUUGACCAGCUUUAUGCAGCUGAAAUGGAAGCAUCUAAAAUGGUGGCUUGAGCAGCCCUGGAGGACCACAGCAU